AAGUACUGUUUCGAUUUGUUGCCCUUAUUCCAAAAAAGACGGUAUUCCGACUAAUCUGUUUCCAUGGCUAAUGAAUUUAAAUAUUCUUCUAAUGUUCCCGUUUACAUG